GAUGAACGCUGGCGGCGUGCCUAAUACAUGCAAGUCGAGCGAACAGACGAGGAGCUUGCUCCUCUGACGUUAGCGGCGGACGGGUGAGUAACACGUGGAUAACCUACCUAUAAGACUGGGAUAACUUCGGGAAACCGGAGCUAAUACCGGAUAAUAUAUUGAACCGCAUGGUUCAAUAGUGAAAGACGGUUUUGCCGUCACUUAUAGAUGGAUCCGCGCCGCAUUAGCUAGUUGGUAAGGUAACGGCUUACCAAGGCGACGAUGCGUAGCCGACCUGAGAGGGUGAUCGGCCACACUGGAACUGAGACACGGUCCAGACUCCUACGGGAGGCAGCAGUAGGGAAUCUUCCGCAAUGGGCGAAAGCCUGACGGAGCAACGCCGCGUGAGUGAUGAAGGUCUUCGGAUCGUAAAACUCUGUUAUUAGGGAAGAACAAAUGUAUAAGUAACUAUGCACGUCUUGACGGUACCUAAUCAGAAAGCCACGGCUAACUACGUG
rnacentral:rRNA from 1 species